rnacentral:rRNA from 1 species
GCCCAAGAGAUCGGGAUAACACCUGGAAACAGAUGCUAAUACCGGAUAACAACAGAUGAUGCCUAUCAACUGUUUAAAAGAUGGUUCUGCUAUCACUCUUGGAUGGACCUGCGGUGCAUUAGCUAGUUGGUAGGGUAACGGCCUACCAAGGCGAUGAUGCAUAGCCGAGUUGAGAGACUGAUGGCCACAUUGGGACUGAGACACGGCCCAAACUCCUACGGGAGGCAGCAGAG